AUAUAGUAUAUUAGCAUGCUCUGAUGCUAAGAAGUUAGACAUUCUACUCCCCCUCCCCACCUGAAAAGUUCCAACUGCCACUUGCCUCACAUUCCGUUACCUCAGGUCAAAGUGGCAGACAUUUCACUCCUUCACUCAGGGAUGGUCUGGGGCUCCUUACAGUACUAAACGUCGGUAUCUCACCAAAAUGUCUAUGCCUUCCACCUAUGGAACUGCUUCCGAGCUCAAGGUGGCAGGAGAGAUAUUCCCUUAUGUGUUUCAAUCACCAACCACCACUGAGCCAACGCAUUGUGAACCAAAUUUCUCCUGCAUAGUGUCCCAGCCCCAACUCACUUCUUACACUGACCUCCUCAGUUCAGACGAAUCUGUUCCUUCUACUGUAACACCAGUUAAAUGGAAAAGACUGUCUUUCUGUUGCCCGGAAGUACAACGGAUGCUUCAAAAUGAUGUCUUUUGGAGCCAGAGAGGUCAACUUAUACUCUGCUUGUGUGACCUGGAGUGCUUCUGACAGUCAGUUCCUGGCAUUCAUUCAAUCAAAAGCCAUUGUAUAAGUGAUUCCAUCUUUCUUUAGUAAGAGAAGCAGGGAAGCAGUGAUGAAAAAGCAUGGGAAUAUUUCAUGUUGAAAAUUAUGUUGUCUGGACACCCCCCAAUACAAAUUCUAUUGAAUGGAAGAAGCUUUCCUCCUUCCAGAAACAGAGUAUGCAAAACUCUAUCCAACCAAAUUGCAUGAAAAUAAAAGAAUGAGCUUCAAUGAA